UUUGUUUACUGUGAGGAUACAAAGCUCCCUCUUCUGAAAUUAUUUGAGGAUGCUUGCCGGCAGAAUCGAACCAAUACUAAUCGCCACCACUGAGUGA